rnacentral:lncRNA from 1 species
GCAGACAGCCUCAAGGACCAAGCAAUCGCCAGAGUCUCUGGUUCUCAGGGUCUGCUUCUCAAGAGAGGAGUCCUCAGAAGCUCAGCAGUGAUGCAGAUCCUCCGACAGAUGACUGGACAGGUGAAAUAGUCCAUCUACCUUAGGAAAUAGAAGAAAAUAGAGAAGCCUUCUCUCGCUUCCGUUCAGAUACCAAGGAACCUAUGUCAGCGUCGGAGUGAAUCUACAAAGGUCCUUCCAAAGAUUGUAGAUGUUAGCAACAACCCCCAGCCCCCAAAACCAACGGAAGUGACCCCUCAAUUCAGUACCACAAGCAGCUGGGGGCAAGGCAAAAUCCUCAGAACGAGAGAGCAUAUGUGGUUGCGAAUCAUCUCUACAGGAACUUUGGGAAUUGGGCACACACAGAGUUCAAACAUGACCCGGCAUGUGGAGUGGUCAUGUUUGUUACUGUAAACAAAUUCUCUCCUACAUAUAACAUACCUACAUAUAACAUAAAUAAUAUAUAAAACAUUAACCAUCAUAAUAUUGACAUUUCUAGCACUCAACUUUAGGCUUACCCUCAUUUUUACUGUCUCUGUUUGCUUUUGAUCAUCUCAAACCUCUGGUAUUCCACCUGAAAUACUAUUUGUUUCUUCUGAAGAUGUGUUUUUCUUCCUAACAGCAGGUUUUCCUGGUGAUAACUAUUUGCCUAGCCAUGGGCCCUCUCCCUAUCUAUUUGUCUAACAGGGAAUCUGUCUACCUUCUGUCUGUCUCUCAAAAAUCAAGAACACAGAUUAUGCCAUUAUAAAAUCAAUGAGAGGAAACAACCAAGACCCACUCCACACAGAGCCAAGUAAACUAUAUUUUAGACAAAUUAUGAAAGAAUUAUCACCAGAAAGUAGCUUGUACAUCCCCCAAAAGACUCCUACCCUCUACACAGAUCCUAGGUCAGCAACAUUCAUUGCUGCUCAGUACACAACAGCUAGGAAAUAGAUACCACCUAUGUGUACUUCAAGUGAUGGAUGAGUGACAAGAAUAUAGUACAUAUCCUCAAUAGAAUGCCAUUUAACAAUAAAAAAAUAAAAUCAUGAAAAUUUCAGUAGACAGAACUUGAAAAUAUACUAAGUGAGGUAACUCAGACCAGAAAAGACAAAUAUCACACGUUCCCCCGUAUUUGCUUAUCUGAGCUCCUAUCUCUAGACACUUUGAGUUGUAUACUAAUAAGAGACCAUGGGGCAGCUAUAGGCAGGGAGAGAGUAGAGCACAAGAACUAAGAAUGGAUAAUGUAGAAAAUAGGUGGGUCUCUAACGGGAGGUUUCAGGAGAGAAAGGGAGGAAGGAGAGAUAAAUAACACCAAGAACAUGUGAAAAGGCAAUAGAAAAUCCUAUUACUUUAAAAGUUUACUUAGUAAUUCAUAUAUUGUGUCUAUAUGUGUGUGGGUAUUUAUAGUUUAAGUGAAGUCAUGUCCCAUGGAUUGAUAAUGCUUUCCCAAAAGCCACAGACUAGCAGAAACCCCAGUUCCAGGAUGAGAAUCCCCCCUUUGAGUUGAUGGCCAGAAUUGCCCAAGAGAGCCCCCAAAAUGGUAAAAAGUAUUACCACUGCCAUGUUGCCAGAAGAGUUAAGAUCUUUUGCUGAAGGCACCACAUUCUGGACACAAGAUUUUGAAGAAUCAAGAUGGACCCGACUUAAAAGUCUCCUCCCUGAGGUUUAACUCUCAGUAUCAAAAGGUCCUAUGCUAGCUGCCAGGGGAGAAAAACCAUCAAUGGUCACGCACAGUUAUAAAGCCUAAGAGUUGCAACAAUGACGGCCCUGGCCAGAAAUCACCAUAUGGCCUUACUAUCUUGAGCGAAACCAAUUCCUGAUUAAUUGGACAUAAGCCCUGCUCAAUAAGAGAGGAUUCAUGCCUUUUAUUGUAAAUCUAGCUAGCUAUUUGGCCAAAAAAAAAAAUGUAUUUAAUGAGUAUUUAAAAUGGCCUAGCAGAAUCUUUGGCCAUGUUUCUAGAUCUGUGAUGACAUAAAUUAUGAAAAAUAUUAUUAAAAAGUAAAUUUAUGAUUUUCUCAAUAUGAAAGCCCCUUUAAAAUCACAUAGCUGCACAACACACAGCCCUCAACACAGCGUAGGCUGAGUUAUAACCUAAACAUCGGUUUCCAGUCUGCAUCCAGAUUGAAGCUUCAACCUAAUAGUGCCGGCCUUUCUAAACCUAUUCCCAAAGGACAGCUGUGAAAUCACUACAAUUUCAUUAACUCUGAUUAGUUACAGCUCCAGGCGACUUUCAACUAUGAGUCCACAUUGACCUGACCUUCAGGACAUAGGUGACCCACUGUGAUAUGGGACCUUCUAAUGGCUCUCCAGCCCUCCACCCUCUGGUAUGCAACCCAUUGUAAGACCCUGGCCAAGCACAGUAGUUCAUGCUUUUGCAGACUUUGAGAACAAAGUCAUGUUUAUCUAUCUUCAAAUUCUAUUUAUAUGUCUAAGAGACUUAUGUUCUUCCCCCCUUCCCUGAAACGUUUUCUCUGAGAAAACAAAAC